ensembl:lncRNA
AGAUCUGUAAUAAAAGGGAAAAACAUGUGUGAGAGAGCACGAGAAGGGAGGUGGGGAGUGACAAGACGAACAGAGAGAAAGAGGGACGUUGUAUUUCUUCCACUCUGUUUUGGAAGAGAAGGACUUUGACAUUCAGCAGCUGGAAAGCACAGUAGGAGAGACUCCACACUUUUCAUUUUCCUCCUCCCUUGAGUGAGUGCUGUCUGUCUCUCCAGGAAAUACUGCCACAGCUCCAGCGGGUCGGGACUGCAGAAGACGAGAGAAUUGGAUUUCAACGCCAGCGUCUGCAGACAGGCAGGGACAGGUGCUGCAUGCGGAGAAAGGAGGAGCAAAGCAAAGCGGAAACACGCCACACUGCUUCAUAGGAGGAUUUCUGAAACAGCUGCCCAGCAGACGUCCUGCCUGUAAGAACUAAACCCUCAAGGGCAGAGAAAGAGAGAGAGUGAGAAGACGAAAACGGCAACACGCUGCACCACCCAGGAGCUGACUAACAGUUUAGGUCAAGGCACCUCUGGGACGGCAACCAAAGACUGGAGAAAACAGGGACAUUAUUCUGCAAAGACACAGGAGCAGCACAUGCUCAACUGUUUGACCAGAAAAGAUCUUCUGAAAUUCCUCAGAUACAUUCCUCUGUCCAGCAGAACCUGGAAAGUCAACUUGACUCUCGCAGAAAGCCAAAGACAACAGCAGCUUGAGAACAGAAUCCUUGGAGGUGAAGGACAUUAAUCCAAACAUUUGAGCUGGAUUAUCUUCAGUGAGGAUUGAGGACGCAUUUAAAACAGCUGCUCUCUGAGAAUGUAACUCCUGCACUUCUACUUUGCGAGACUCCAGCAAGUUUAUCGCACAGCCGAGGAGAUCUGAACUUCCAGAGCAUUCCC